rnacentral:rRNA from 1 species
AUUGAACGCUGGCGGCAUGCCUUACACAUGCAAGUCGAACGGCAGCACGGGAGCAAUCCUGGUGGCGAGUGGCGAACGGGUGAGUAAUGUAUCGGAACGUGCCCAGUCGUGGGGGAUAACGUAGCGAAAGCUACGCUAAUACCGCAUACGAUCUAUGGAUGAAAGCGGGGGAUCGCAAGACCUCGCGCGAUUGGAGCGGCCGGUAUCAGAUUAGGUAGUUGGUGGGGUACAGGCUCACCAAGCCGACGGUCUGUAGCUGGUCUGAGAGGACGACCAACGACACUGGGACUGAGAAACGGCCCAGGCUCCUAUGGGAGGCAGAAUUGGGGAAGUUUGUACAAUGGGGGAAAGCCUGCUCCAGCCAUGCCGCGUGCAGGAUGAAGGACUUCGGGUUGUAAACUGCUUUUGUACGGAACGAAAAGGCUUGGCCGCAUAAGCUGAGCUCAUGACGGUACCGUAAGAAUAAGCACCGGCUUAGUACGUGCCAGCCGCCGCCGUAA